rnacentral:lncRNA from 1 species
CAUGUAAAUCUUCCCAGCUGAGGCCUCAUCAUUGAGGUGCAGAAAAGGGGCAUGCCCAUUGUGCCUGUUUCUAAAUUCCUGACCCACAGAACCUGUGAGCAUAAUACAAGUUUACUAUUUUAUACCAGUAAUCAGCAAUACAACUGGGAUUUGAUAUCAGAUUCAUGCGAUUCCGAAGACCCUGACCACCAAAUGCAAAAGGAGAGUGGGGUGCUGGUGAAAACAUAUCCAAAAAUGUGGAAGCGACGUUGGAACUGGGUAACAGGCAGAGGUUGGAACAGUUUGGAGGACUCAGAAGAAGACAGGAAAAUGUGGCCAAGUUUGGAACUUCCUAGAGACUUGCUGAAUGGCUUUGAACAAAAUGCUGACAGUGAUAUGGACGAUGAAAUCCAGGCUAGGUGGUCUCAGCUGGUGAUAAGGAACUUGUUGGGAACCGGAGUAAAGGUGAGUCUUGCAAACACACUGGUGGCAUUUUGCCCGGCCCUAUAGAUUUGUAGAACUUUGAACUUGAGAGACAUGAUUUAGGGUAUCUGGCAGAAGAAAUUUCUAAGCAGGAAAGCACUUACGAUGUGACUUCGGUGCUGUUGAAAGCAUUCAGUUUUAUAAGGCAAGCAGAGCAUAAAAAUU